AAUGAAUGAAUGAAUGAACAAACAAACAGUAAAGUUUGAAAAUAAAUGUUUGAUAGCUUAGAAUUGAGUUAUUGCUCAGUAGGAACAUUGGAUUUGAAACUCUAAUUUUGUAUUCUGUCGUUCUAGAGUGACCCCCUAGUGUUUAGUUUACAUGUUUAGUUUCCCAGAGGAGCAGAAAGGAGACAAAAGUUGAUGACUCCUGAAUUGGAAGUUCUUUCUUUUGAGUUCCUCCUUGUCUUCUCGCCGUAUUGUACCAGCCACUCUCCAUUGUCUCUAGCUUGACAGAUCUACAUGGGUAGUCUUGUCUUCCUCCUCCAAUUUCAGUUCAAAACACUCCUUGAAGAGAUUGGUCAAGUUGAUAAAAGCAAUCCAAGAGUCUUCAAUUUUCACGAGCCACAAAAGUGAAAAAGGGAGGAUCUUUUUUUUUGAAGUAUCAGCAGGUGGGCUAUGGAACUUGGCGGAAAGCACAAAAGAUCUGAGGAUAAAGGAACCCAGUGACAAGCAUAAAUUCUGUAAGGCAAAAUGCAGUGUGAGCCCUUUAUCCAAGUUCCCUGAUACACUGAAGUGAAGGAAAGAAAGGAAGAGCUUUGGAUGAGAUGAUCUGCUUGGAGAACUGCCCUUUGAGGUUGACAAUGGAUCUGCAGUGGUUCCCUGAAGAGGAAAACAUUGUACCAAGUUCACCCAACCUCUCUGAAUCACCGACUCCAAAGGAGGGACUCAAGAAGCAGAGAGGAAGAAGCCCUGAAUCUGGAAUCAGAAGACAUGAGUCCUGCCUUUGCCCCUUACUACCUGUGGGACAUUGGCCAAGCUAUUAAAGUUAUAUGGGCCUCAGUUUCCUCUUAUAGGAACUGGGAAAAAAAACUUGUAGCAUCUACUACAGAAGAUUACUGUGAAAGAAAAGCAAUGCCUUCUAUAAAUGCAAACUAUUAUUAAUAG
rnacentral:lncRNA from 1 species